AGCGGCAAACGGGUGAGUAACACGUGAGUAACCUGCCCUCAGGAAGGGGAUAACCCUCCGAAAGGGGGGCUAAUACCCUAUAAUGUCAGUCACCACUAAGGUGGCUGACCAAAGGUGGCCUCUGCUCUGCAUGCUACCGCCUGAGGAGGGGCUCGCGGCCCAUCAGGUAGUUGGUGGGGUAACGGCCUACCAAGCCUAUGACGGGUAGCCGGCCUGAGAGGGUGUCCGGCCACAGUGGGACUGAGACACGGCCCACACCCCUACGGGGGGCAGCAGUGGGGAAUCGUGGGCAAUGGGCGAAAGCCUGACCCCGCGACGCCGCGUGGAGGAAGAAGCCCUUCGGGGUGUAAACUCCUGUCAGGGGGGAAGAUGCUCACAGAGGUGAAUAAUCUCUGUGGGUGACGGUACCCCCAGAGGAAGGGACGGCUAACUACGUGCCAGCAGCCGCGGUAAUACGUAGGUCCCGAGCGUUGCGCGAAUUCACUGGGCGUAAAGCGUCCGCAGCCGGAUGGGUAAGCGGUUCGUCAAAGCCCACCGCUCAACGGUGGAAAGGCGUACCGAACUGCCCAUCUUGAGGCACGCUCAGGCAGGCGGAAUUCCCGGUGUA
rnacentral:rRNA from 1 species